UACGGAGGGUGCAAGCGUUGCUCGGAAUCACUGGGCGUAAAGCGUGCGUAGGCGGACUUCCAAGUCGGGUGUGAAAUCCCGGGGCUCAACCCCGGAACUGCACCCGAUACUGUUGGUCUAGAGUAUCGGAGAGGGUAGCGGAAUUCCUGGAGUAGCGGUGAAAUGCGUAGAUAUCAGGAAGAACACCUGUGGCGAAAGCGGCUACCUGGACGAAUACUGACGCUGAGGCACGAAAGCGUGGGGAGCAAACAGG
rnacentral:rRNA from 1 species